UAAAUACCUCUAAUUGUUUCAUGC
rnacentral:siRNA from 1 species